AUUGAACGCUGGCGGCAUGCCUUACACAUGCAAGUCGAACGGUAACAGGUCUUCGGAUGCUGACGAGUGGCGAACGGGUGAGUAAUACAUCGGAACGUGCCCGAUCGUGGGGGAUAACGGAGCGAAAGCUUUGCUAAUACCGCAUACGAUCUACGGAUGAAAGCAGGGGACCGCAAGGCCUUGCGCGAACGGAGCGGCCGAUGGCAGAUUAGGUAGUUGAUGGGAUAAAAGCUUACCAAGCCGACGAUCUGUAGCUGGUCUGAGAGGACGACCAGCCACACUGGGACUGAGGCACGGCCCAGACUCCUACGGGAGGCAGCAGUGGGGAAUUUUGGACAAUGGGCGCAAGCCUGAUCCAGCAAUGCCGCGUGCAGGAUGAAGGCCUUCGGGUUGUAAACUGCUUUUGUACGGAACGAAAAGGCUCUGGUUAAUACCUGGGGCUCAUGACGGUACCGUAAGAAUAAGCACCGGCUAACUACGUGCCAGCAGCCGCGGUAAUAC
rnacentral:rRNA from 1 species